rnacentral:rRNA from 1 species
GACGAACGCUGGCGGCGUGCUUAACACAUGCAAGUCGAACGGAAAGGCCCUGCUUUUGUGGGGUGCUCGAGUGGCGAACGGGUGAGUAACACGUGAGUAACCUGCCCUUGACUUUGGGAUAACUUCAGGAAACUGGGGCUAAUACCGGAUAGGAGCUCCUGCUGCAUGGUGGGGGUUGGAAAGUUUCGGCGGUUGGGGAUGGACUCGCGGCUUAUCAGCUUGUUGGUGGGGUAGUGGCUUACCAAGGCUUUGACGGGUAGCCGGCCUGAGAGGGUGAACGGCCACAUUGGGACUAAGAUACGGCCCAGACUCCUACGUGAGGCAGCAGUGGGGAAUAUUGCACAAUGGGCGGAAGCCUGAGGCAGCAACGUCGCGAGCGGGAUGACGGCCUUCGGGGUGGAAACCGCUUUCGCCUGUGACGAAGCGUGAGUGACGGUAAUGGGUAAAGAAGCACCGGCUAACUACGUG